AUUGAACGCUGGCGGCAGGCCUAACACAUGCAAGUCGAACGAGUGGCGGACGGGUGAGUAAUGUCUGGGAAACUGCCUGAUGGAGGGGGAUAACUACUGGACACGGUCGCUAAUACCGCAUACCAUACGAUGUGCCCAGAUGGGAUUGGCUAGUUGGUGGGGUAACGGCUCACCAAGGCGACGAUCCCUAGCUGGUCUGAGAGGAUGACCAGCCACACUGGAACUGGGACACGGUCACGACGCAUACGGGAGGCAGCAGUGGGGAAUAGUGCACAAUGGGCGCAAGCCUGAUGCAGCCAUGCCGCGUGUAUGAAGAAGGCCUUCGGGUUGUAAAGUACUUUCAGCGGGGAGGCGUUACCCGCAGAAGAAGCACCGGCUAACUCCGUGCCAGCAGCCGCGGUAAUAC
rnacentral:rRNA from 1 species